rnacentral:lncRNA from 1 species
CCAUUGAAGUCAUGGCCUAUCAUUCUUAUGCCCAUCGAAAUUGGAGCUGAAGAUAUUGUUGGAGCUAAGGAAAGGCUCUGAUCCAUCCUCCUCUCUCUCCUCCUUCUCUCGACCUUAGUUGCCAUAGCUGGACCCCGGCUUCGUCAGAAAUUCACCAUAAAGAAAUCUCCUAUUUCUGUCAUUAUUUUCUUCUUUUCUCCUUUUUUCGAUUACCUUCACCAUCGACAAUCAUCACCAAGGGCUUUGGUCACCCCUUGCAUUGGUGCGGAAAAAUAAGCCCAUAAGUAACCAUGAAUAAGGC